rnacentral:rRNA from 1 species
UUUAUGGAGAGUUUGAUCCUGGCUCAGGAUGAACGCUGGCGGCGUGCCUAAUACAUGCAAGUCGAGCGAACGGACGAGAAGCUUGCUUCUCUGAUGUUAGCGGCGGACGGGUGAGUAACACGUGGAUAACCUACCUAUAAGACUGGGAUAACUUCGGGAAACCGGAGCUAAUACCGGAUAAUAUUUUGAACCGCAUGGUUCAAAAGUAAAAGACGGUCUUGCUGUCACUUAUAGAUGGAUCCGCGCUGCAUUAGCUAGUUGGUAAGGUAACGGAUUACCAAGGCAACGAUGCAUAGCCGACCUGAGAGGGUGAUCGGCCACACUGGAACUGAGACACGGUCCAGACUCCUACGGGAGGCAGCAGUAGGGAAUCUUCCGCAAUGGGCGAAAGCCUGACGGAGCAACGCCGCGUGAGUGAUGAAGGUCUUCGGAUCGUAAAACUCUGUUAUUAGGGAAGAACAUAUGUGUAAGUAACUGUGCACAUCUUGACGGUACCUAAUCAGAAAGCCACGGCUAACUACGUGCCAGCAGCCGCGGUAAUACGUAGGUG